UAGAUAUUCAACCUGACUGUUUACAUCUACAGUGUGCGUCAAAAGACACGAUUUGAAUUUGUGGCAUUGCUGUUUAUAAAUAAAUCAGAAAGACCGAAGACAGAAGUCGAGUUAACGGGGCGGGGAAACCUGCUUCGGGGUGGUAACAGGAAGAGCACAGCUCCUUACCAUUGGCUCCCAUCCAACCCGAUCUCAUGACGCAGACCCAUGGGGGUGUGCUUUAGAACAAAUCAGCUGGAGAAACAAAAACACAGACGGGUGCCUCAUAGGUGACAUAGUUAGAACUAGCGAUGGUUAAUAUUUCACCAAAUAACCCCAGUUUUAGGUAAAAGUUCAGAGUUAGUGCUUUAGCUAGAUGCAAAGGAGUUAGUGAGCGGCCUGGAAUCAUUGCAAGAGAAAAGCGAGAAGAAGGAAGAUGCUAUCUUUGUGACAGCGCUGAGUUUUUGGGCAACAUUCACAGUAACGUUGGUUCUCUCAAGGCUCUUAAAUUAGUUAGUCUUGAGUUAGUCUUCUUGCCUCCGCUCGUCGCCUGUGCUAGGUCGAACUUGGCGCGGAGUGGCAUGUGGGUCAAUACCGGAACAGUCGGAAGUUAGGAGAUAACAUGCUGCAUUGACCCACAUGGAAGAGGCAGCCAGCAGUGUAUGUCUUGAGGGAGAGAGAGGCUAGUGAGGGUGACUGUGGCAGACAGGCAGAGUCAUGCCCAAUGCCAGAGGCUGAGACUGCCAACCAUGACAGAGCAGAGGCACCCAAGCUGAAGGCCUGAGCUGAGUGGAGUGACACAAGAGUGACAAAUAUCCUGCAGUCCAAGGUAACACAGUGUUCGUGUGGGCAGUUGGUUUCCUGGUACAUUUGUGAGUGCAAUGCUUUCACGUUAAACGCGGACAACAGUGUGAGUGUUGUGAGGGAGGUUCUUUCUAAUGAUAAGUCGCCUCUUUUGAGAUCGCAGAGACAGUUACAGUUUGUGUUUAAGUGCAUUUGGUGUUUACAUAUGUCUAAGCAGUUAGUGGUAUUCCCAGGUGAUGUUUUGGUGACGUGUAUAUGGCGCUUAUGAAGUUAGUGGUAGUGGUAUUCCCAGGUGAUGUUUUGGUGACGUGUACAUGGCGCUUAUGAAGUUAGUGGUAGUGGUAUUCCCAGGUGAUGUUUUGGUGACGUGUACAUGGCGCUUAUGAAGUUAGUGGCAGUGGUAUUCCCAGAUGAUGUUUUGGUGACGUGUACAUGGCGCUUAUGAAGUUAGUGGUAGUGGUAUUCCCAGGUGAUGUUUUGGUGACGUGUACAUGGCGCUUAUGAAGUUAGUGGUAGUGGUAUUCCCAGGUGAUGUUUUGGUGACGUGUACAUGGCGCUUAUGAAGUUAGUGGUAGUGGUAUUCCCAGGUGAUGUUUUGGUGACGUGUACAUGGCGCUUAUGAAGUUAGUGGUAGUGGUAUUCCCAGGUGAUGUUUUGGUGACGUGUACAUGGCGCUUAUGAAGUUAGUGGUAGUGGUAUUCCCAGAUGAUGUUUUGGUGACGUGUACAUGGCGCUUAUGAAGUUAGUGGUAGUGGUAUUCCCAGGUGAUGUUUUGGUGACGUGUACAUGGCGCUUAUGAAGUUAGUGGUAGUGGUAUUCCCAGGUGAUGUUUUGGUGACGUGUACAUGGCGCUUAUGAAGUUAGUGGUAGUGGUAUUCCCAGGUGAUGUUUUGGUGACGUGUACAUGGCGCUUAUGAAGUUAGUGGUAGUGGUAUUCCCAGGUGAUGUUUUGGUGACGUGUAUAUGGCGCUUAUGAAGUUAGUGGUAGUGGUAUUCCCAGGUGAUGUUUUGGUGACGUGUACAUGGCGCUUAUGAAGUUAGUGGUAGUGGUAUUCCCAGGUGAUGUUUUGGUGACGUGUACAUGGCGCUUAUGAAGUUAGUGGUAGUGGUAUUCCCAGGUGAUGUUUUGGUGACGUGUACAUGGCGCUUAUGAAGUUAGUGGUAGUGGUAUUCCCAGGUGAUGUUUUGGUGACGUGUACAUGGCGCUUAUGAAGUUAGUGGUAGUGGUAUUCCCAGGUGAUGUUUUGGUGACGUGUACAUGGCGCUUAUGAAGUUAGUGGCAGUGGUAUUCCCAGAUGAUGUUUUGGUGACGUGUACAUGGCGCUUAUGAAGUUAGUGGUAGUGGUAUUCCCAGGUGAUGUUUUGGUGACGUGUACAUGGCGCUUAUGAAGUUAGUGGUAGUGGUAUUCCCAGGUGAUGUUUUGCUGACGUGUACAUGGCGCUUAUGAAGUUAGUGGUAGUGGUAUUCCCAGGUGAUGUUUUGCUGACGUGUACAUGGCGCUUAUGAAGUUAGUGGUAGUGGUAUUCCCAGGUGAUGUUUUGCUGACGUGUACAUGGCGCUUAUGAAGCGCUGCAUGCAUAUUGAAGUGUGAAUGUGUGUAUUGUGUACAUACAUUUGUGUGCCAAAACCCUAGGGCAGUUUAAUAGUACAGGAUGAUGUAGCUGGGUGCCCCUGCCUCUCCCCUGGACCUGUAUACAGCCAGGCAAAAACAGCAGACUAGACCAGACUACCUCCUUAUAUAACCAGUCUGUGCCCCCCUCGCCUGUGGCAGCCGCUGUCGCCACAGAUCCCUCUGUCUGUGUUCUCUCAGACACACACACACGCGCACACACACAGAUCCACAGACAUGACACACACACAGAACUGCAUCAAUACAUAGCCUAUGGUUCACAUUUUGCGAAGGUGUGAGCGUCCUACCUAUCAGCCAUUUAGUAAUUUUCCAUGAAGGGAGGCGACUUAACAGUCAGUUUAAAAUGUCCCAAGUUUCUGCAAAUGUCAUACAUUUAUAAUAACACAUCUGUCUUUCCGUACUUGGGAUUGUUGUGUGUGGUGUGUGUGUGUGUGUGGUCAUCCUCAGAGGGGUGUUACAGGCAGCCAGCUGUGUCAUGGUGUUAGGGUGAACUCUAGCCCUGAGGAAGAGGAGGUGGUAGGGGAGGAAGAGCAGGAUGAGAGAUCGGGUUUAUGAAGCGCUGGGGUCGAACGGCUGCUACCACUGGAACGGUUACAUAACUCAAAGGGAGAGAGAUGAGAGAGUGGAGAGAGACGCGUCUGCCUGCUGCUCCUCGUAUGGCCCUAACAGAGAGAGAGACAGAGAGAGAGAAACAGAGGGGAGUAUGGUGGAAAGAGAAAUGUAUGUAUUCCAUGUAAUUUCAGCAAGUAAUGUCACCCACAUUUGCAUGAUUGCUCUGAAAUGGUUUCUGUAUCUAGAAGAUAAGAUUAGCAUUCCUGUGACAUUUUUUUAUAUAUAAUUUGAUCUCUGAGAAAUUAAGCUAAUUGUUUGCACCCAAAUUGGCCAUUUUUAAUGUACAGUAUUCAUAUAAUAUAAAAUAAAUAUUGUACCCAACAUCCGAUUAGGACCAUAAUUCUUCUUGACAAUUAGUAAUACCUGAGGAAUCCAAUAAAAUGAUCAAUAGCCACCCACAGACCCCCGAAGCCAAUCCCACCCCAACAACCAGUAUACAGUAUCAGUUCUCUAUGUCUGACAAUAUGGAGCUGCUGCUUGGAGUAUUGCUUCUUCAACCUUUGUAAUGUAUUCCCUGUGAAUCUAGUUAUGGUAUCAACUCCUAAAUCUCAUAGAUUUCUUUUAGUUAUACUUAACUUAUAAGCAGUGGCGUAGCACGCAUCCCGCAUUAUUGAUAAUCAGUAUUGAAAUACAGUCGGUAUUUCUAAAUACCCUGGUAUACGGUAUAAACGGUAUAUCACCCAAGCCUAGUGUGUGGUGUGUGUGUGUGUGUGUUUGCUCCUUGGCCAGACGGAGUGUAGCAGAAGGUUUGUUUAAGUGUGUGGAUGAAGGGGGCAGCAGGCAGUGUCACAGUGAUCCUCUCACUGCAGUCUGAAGUCUGUCAAUAAUUAUUGAACCUUUAUUUAACUAGGCGGCCUACCCCGGCCAAACUCUAACCCGGACGACGCUGGGCCAAUUGUGUUGGGCCAGUUGUGAUACAGCCUGGAAUCGAACCAGGGUCUGUAGUGAUGCCUUUAGCGCUGAGAUGCAGUGCCUUAGACCGCUGCACCACAGGCAUCUAGGGUGUGUAAGGUGAAGUUUCCCCUAGAAAUUGCUCUUGGGUCAAUUUAGGAUUUUCCCCGCUAAUAGUUAAGGUAAGGAUUGGGGGAAGGGAAGCUGAUCAAACCAGAGAAAAAACUGGAUUCUCAUUCACAUGGAGCCAUACCCAUCUAAUACCACCUUUCAUUACUCGCUUUUUCCAUUAUCAGACAAAGAGGUUGAGGUUGAAAUAUAGAGGUUGGAAUAAGGCCAGCACUGAUAUAGAGAUAUAUUAGAUAUUUGGAUUUGUGUAUGCUCUUUUCCACAGCAACAUGUCCCAGUAGCACACCCAAAGAAUUGGCCUGCACCUUCCUCAGUGUGUCUGCUUUCCACUAUUUCAUUUUCAAUCCCUGUAAUACAGGUGACAGCCUAACAGAUGAUGGUUUCAGAGCUGGUCAUGGGUGCACCUCAGCCACGCUCAAGGUCCUAAACGAUAUCUUAACCGCCAUCGAUAAGAAACAUUACUGGGCAGCCGUAUUCAUUGAUCUGGCCAAGGCUUUCGACUCUUUCAAUCACCACAUCCUCAUCGGCAGACUCGACAGCCUUGGUUUCUCAAAUGAUUGCCUCGUCUGGUUCACCAACUACUUCUCUGAUAGAGUUCAGUGUGUCAAAUCGGAGGGUCUGCUGUCCGGACCGUUGGCAGUCUCUAUGGGGGUGCCACAGGGUUCAAUUCUUGGACCGGCUCUCUUCUCUGUCUACAUCAAUGAGGUCGCUCUUGCUGCUGGUGAGUCUCUGAUCCACCUCUACGCAGACGACACCAUUCUGUAUACUUCUGGCCCUUCUUUGGACACUGUGUUAACAACCCUCCAGGCAAGCUUCAAUGCCAUACAACUCUCCUUCCGUGGCCUCCAAUUGCUCUUAAAUACAAGUAAAACCAAAUGCAUGCUCUUCAACCGAUCGCUACCUGCACCUACCCGCCUGUCCAACAUCACUACUCUGGACGGCUCUGACUUAGAAUACGUGGACAACUACAAAUACUUAGGUGUCUAGUUAGACUGUAAAACUCUCCUUCCAGACCCAUAUCAAACAUCUCCAAUCCAAAGUUAAAUCUAGAAUUGGCUUCCUAUUUCGCAACAAAGCAUCCUUCACUCAUGCUGCCAAACAUACCUUUGUAAAACUGACCAUCCUACCAAUCCUCGACUUUGGCGAUGUCAUUUAUAAAAUAGCCUCCAAUACCCUACUCAACAAAUUGGAUGCAGUCUAUCACAGUGCAAUACGUUUUGUCACCAAAGCCCCAUAUACUACCCACCAUUGCAACCUGUACGCUCUCGUUGGCUGGCCCUCGCUUCAUACUCGUCGCUAAACCCACUGGCUCCAUGUCAUCUACAAGACCCUGCUAGGUAAAGUCCCCCCUUAAAAAAAAAAAAUCUCAGCUCGCUGGUCACCAUAGCAUCUCCCAUCUGUAGCACACGCUCCAGCAAGUAUAUCUCUAGUCACCCCCAAAACCAAUUCUUUCUUUGGCUGCCUCUCCUUCCAGUUCUCUGCUGCCAAUGACUGGAACAAACUACAAAAAUCUCUGAAACUGGAAACACUUAUCUCCCUCACUAGCUUUAAGCACCAACUGUCAGAGCAGCUCACAGAUUACUGCACCUGUACAUAGCCCACCUAUAAUUUAUCCCAAACAACUACCUCUUUCCCAACUGUAUUUCAUUUAUUUAUUUAUUUUGCUCCUUUGCACCCCAUUAUUUUUAUUUCUACUUUGCACAUUCUUCCAUUGCAAAACUACCAUUCCAGUGUUUUACUUGCUAUAUUGUAUUUACUUUGCCACCACCACCUUUUUUGCCUUUACCUCCCUUCUCACCUCAUUUGCUCACAUUGUAUAUAGACAGACCUGUUUAUACUGUAUUAUUGACUGUAUGUUUGUUUUACUCCAUGUGUCGUUGUAUCUGUCGAACUGCUUUGCUUUAUCUUGGCCAGGUCGCAAUUGUAAAUGAGAACUUGCCUACCUGGUUAAAUAAAGGUGAAAUAAAUAAAUUACAUUAAAUGUCUAGACUGCUGCUUUACACGUGAUAUGUAUAGUAUCAGUCACUGGCUGUGAAUGAAACCCUACACUGCUCUCAUAGUGUCUAGAUACGGCUUGGCUGUGAGAGGCAGGUGCGUGCGUGUGAGAGACCUCUGCAUAGUCAGGGCGAUGGUGUAGUGCUCCAGGACUUCUGUCUGAUCCCCCUGAGAAACUUUCCACUGCUCCCAGUUACAUCACAGCUCACAUCUCCCCAUGCCUCACAGCCUACCUAAGCCUAUUAAAAUGCCAGACCCACGACCCCCCCCCCCCC